UACGUAGGGUGCUAGCGUUGUUCGGAAUCAUUGGGCGUAAAGCGCGUGUAGGCGGCGUGGCAAGUCGGGUGUGAAAGCCCUGGGCUCAACCCAGGAAGUGCAUUCGAUACUGCCAAGCUAGAGUCCCGGAGAGGAUGGUGGAACUCUCGGUGUAGAGGUGAAAUUCGUAGAUAUCGAGAAGAACACCGGUGGCGAAGGCGGCCAUCUGGACGGUGACUGACGCUGAGACGCGAAAGCGUGGGGAGCAAACAGG
rnacentral:rRNA from 1 species